rnacentral:rRNA from 1 species
AAACCAACAGGGAUUGCCCUAGUAACGGCGAGUGAAGCGGCAACAGCUCAGAUUUGAAAUCUGGUCCUUGGACCCGAAUUGUAAUCUGUAGGGGUGGCUUCGGGCGCGGCGUCUUCUGAGUCCCCUGGAACGGGGCGCCAUAGAGGGUGAGAGCCCCGUACGGUCGACCGCUAAGCCUAUGUGAAGCCCCUUCGACGAGUCGAGUAGUUUGGGAAUGCUGCUCAAAAUGGGAGGUAAAUUUCUUCUAAAGCUAAAUACCGGCCAGAGACCGAUAGCGCACAAGUAGAGUGAUCGAAAGAUGAAAAGCACUUUGAAAAGAGGGUUAAAAAGUACGUGAAAUUGUUGAAAGGGAAGCGCCUGUGACCAGACUUGUGCUCGGCGGCUCCGUAGGCCUUCUGGCCUGCGUUCUCCGUCGGGUUCAGGCCAGCAUCGGUUUCCGUAGGGGGAUAAAAACGGCGGGAAUGUGGCUCUCUCCGGGGAGUGUUAUAGCCCGUCGUAUAAUGCCCUUCUGGGGACCGAGGUUCGCGCUCUGCAAGGAUGCUGGCGUAAUGGUCAUCAGCGAC